GAUGAACGCUGGCGGCGUACCUAAUACAUGCAAGUCGAGCGAACGGACGAGAAGCUUGCUUCUCUGAUGUUAGCGGCGGACGGGUGAGUAACACGUGGAUAACCUACCUAUAAGACUGGGAUAACUUCGGGAAACCGGAGCUAAUACCGGAUGAUAUUUUGAACCGCAUGGUUCAAAAGUGAAAGACGGUCUUGCUGUCACUUAUAGAUGGAUCCGCGCUGCAUUAGCUAGUUGGUAAGGUAACGGCUUACCAAGGCAACGAUGCAUAGCCGACCUGAGAGGGUGAUCGGCCACACUGGAACUGAGACACGGUCCAGACUCCUACGGGAGGCAGCAGUAAGGAAUCUUCCGCAAUGGGCGAAAGCCUGACGGAGCAACGCCGCGUGAGUGAUGAAGGUCUUCGGAUCGUAAAACUCUGUUAUUAGGGAAGAACAUAUGUGUAAGUAACUGUGCACAUCUUGACGGUACCUAAUCAGAAAGCCACGGCUAACUACGUG
rnacentral:rRNA from 1 species